rnacentral:piRNA from 1 species
AGGAUAUGCUCGCUGGAAGCUAAGACCAU